rnacentral:rRNA from 1 species
AGUGAACGCUGGCGGCGUGGAUUAGGCAUGCAAGUCGAGCGAGAACCGUAGCAAUACGGGGACAGCGGCGAACGGGAGAGUAACGAGUGGAGUACCUACCCUGAGACCCGGGAUAGCCGUGGGAAACCGCGGGUAAUACCGGAUAAUGUCUCCGGACCAAAGGUGUGAUUCCGUCUGAGGAUGGCUCCGCUUCCUAUUAGCUAGUUGGUGAGGUAACGGCUCACCAAGGCAACGAUGGGUACCGGGCGUGAGAGCAUGACCCGGCUCACUGGGACUGGGACACUGGCCAGACACCUACGGGUGGCUGCAGUGGGGAAUCUUCGGCAAGGGGCGCAAGCCCGACCGAGCGACGCCGCGUGCGGGAUGAAGGCCCUCGGGUUGUAAACCGCUGUCAGAGGGGAUGAAAUGCCAGGCAGCAAUCUGUUUGGUUUGACAUAUCCUCGGAGGAAGGACGGGCUAAGUUCGUGCCAGCAGCCGCAGUAACAC